rnacentral:rRNA from 1 species
AGAGUUUGAUCAUGGCUCAGGAUGAACGCUGGCGGUCUGCUUAACACAUGCAAGUCGAACGCAAGUAGCAAUACUUGAGUGGCGGACGGGUGAGUAACGCGUGAGAAUCUGCCUUUUGGUCGGGGACAACCACUGGAAACGGUGGCUAAUACCGGAUAUGCCUAACGGUGAAAGAUUAAUUGCCAGAAGAGGAGCUCGCGUCUGAUUAGCUAGUUGGUGAGGUAAGAGCUCACCAAGGCAUCGAUCAGUAGCUGGUCUGAGAGGAUGAUCAGCCACACUGGGACUGAGACACGGCCCAGACUCCUACGGGAGGCAGCAGUGGGGAAUUUUCCGCAAUGGGCGAAAGCCUGACGGAGCAAGACCGCGUGAGGGAGGAAGGCUCUUGGGUUGUAAACCUCUUUUGUCAGGGAAGAACACAAUGACGGUACCUGAAGAAUCAGCAUCGGCUAACUCCGUGCCAGCAGCCGCGGUAAUACGGGGGAUGCAAGCGUUAUCCGGAAUUAUUGGGCGUAAAGCGUCUGCAGGUGGCUAAUCAAGUCUGCUGUCAAAGGUUGGGGCUUAACCCCAAAAAGGCAGUGGAAACUGAGAAGCUAGAGUGCAGUAGGGGUAGAGGGAAUUCCCGGUGUAGCGGUGAAAUGCGUAGAGAUCGGGAAGAACAUCGGUGGCGAAAGCGCUCUACUGGACUGCAACUGACACUCAGGGACGAAAGCUAGGGGAGCGAAUGGGAUUAGAUACCCCAGUAGUCC